UUCAGUGGUGGCCCGGAUGGCAACAUCGCCACUAGCUGAUUAUAGUUCGAUUCAGUCCUUUCUAUCAUUUCACAUUUCUGUAUCCUGUGCGUGUAUGUGCGUGUGUGUGUAUUACAUUAUCAACCGAUAAUACAAGCAACCGGUUCUUCAUUUCAAAGAGGGGAGGGUAAAAUGAUAAACUCAUUUGUCUGUCGGUGUCGAAUUACCCUGCAAUAAGUGCGAUAAGUCCCUAGCCACAUCGACCCAAGUCCAUCAUCAUCGUCUUUACACAUAUACGCCUCUCUUCAUCACAUUUCUGUUCUUCUCCGACUCUCUUUGCCCUUUUUAAUUUUCCUUUCAAAUGCCCCAGCUCUUCGCCCGCCCUCCCUUUUUUUCGGACUGAUCGGUCACUAUAAACUUUGCUAUGGUCUAGAAAUGCGAUAACCUUCACUCCCGAACAGACUUAACCUCAGAUAGAGAAACAGUGUGUGUAUGUGUGUGUGUGUGCUGAGACAGAGAAGUGUGUGUGUGUGUGUUUUUUCUGUGACGAACGACGACGAGGCGAGACCUCAGUGAACGAGAGAAUCGUUCAUUUGUUCAGAACGUCUCGACAGAGUUGGUGAUGAUGAGCCUUGCUUCCACACAGUCUUCCGCGACACAUCCAAUCAACUUCCCUCUACACGACUUCCAUCUUCUUUUGUUCUUCUUUAGUUGGCCGAUUUUCUUUAGCUAGUCCCUUUUGUGCGCGUCUGUACACCACGUCUAGUGAAUGCCUAUCAAAGUCUUCGGUCGAUGUCGUCCCAAUGCCACGCCCAUUUUCGCUCGACUUGGCCGCAAUCAAAAGAUAAUCGCACGAUGUCAACGGAGGCAACAAAAAGAAGAAGAAGAAGAAGCAUUAAACAAACCGCCGAUGGAAUUGGAAAAAAAAAGAAACGAAACACGAUAGAAAAACAAAACAAACUGUCUGUUGACUCGAGCUGAUCGUAUAAGCCCGGAGUUUUUUAUCGUGUUUUGUGGCACGAAAAAGAUUUCUCCAACUUCUCUGGCAGUCUUUCUAUUUGUUCUCUUUUUUCUUCUCGCUUUUCUCCACACUAUAGAUGAUUGCCAUCUUUCAAUUGCGAGAAGGGUGAGAGGAAGAAAGAGAGGGACGUCAGCAGUUGUUGCGGUCACAUUUCGAUUCGGUUUGUUCGUUCGGCUUGAGUUAGUUUGACAGUAAACAAUCGUCGCUCGCCAUUAUCGUGUACAUCCAUAAAUACAUACGACCAACUG